AGGAACUCGCGACUCGUCGGACGCCGUCACCGUAACGCCUCAUGUAGUCUGCCAGACCUGCGGAAGGAGAGCGGAUCAGAGAAGGACUACAAACAUGGCGGAGCAGCGCUUGAAUGCAACACUAUGAUGAGGAUGAGUCAAGAGCGGAGUCACACUGGAGGAUUUCAAGAGCGGCCAUGCGCGGAUGAAGUGGCGUCCGGUGUGCGGAUCAGUUCAGGGUGACUGCGGCCUAACAAUCCAGGUGAACAACCACCAUAACCAAAGAAGACAAGAUCAUUCCAGUCAGGCAAGUUUGGCCUUUGUUUUAAUAAUAAUUGAAAUGAGCCAUUUUUCAACAAGGAGACAUCUCCCAUUUAAAAAUGUGCUUUUGGAUAAAAACGAGGAGCUGAUGCUGUCGUGCAUUCCGGGCAACGUGGUCCACUUUUAACAUCAGAGUGGCGUUUUUAACAGCUGCCACUUAAUGCAAGCCUGAGGCUUAAGUCCCAUAACAGGAGCCUCGCAGGGAACCUGAACUUCCACAGCCCGGUGCGAAGACGCCCCUCACAUGCGAUCCUACACGGGAAUUCCGCAAUAGCGUGCAGAGGGGACGCCAUCCUCACGCCGGCUGGAUCAAAAAGAAAUGUGCGCAGCGUGCAAUCCACUAAGAUUGACCUGUGCAAAAUUCCAGUCCGGGAACACAACAAUAUUGGAGCCGGUUUAAGGUCAGGUGAGAGGUUAGGACCGCCAUUCCUCGAGCGCCGGCUUCACUUCUUGGAAGUGAGGCCAUCGUGACGCGGGAGUCGGUUGCUAUUAGACGAUGAAUUAUUCACACCGUGCUAUUGGCUGGCAACACGUCAUUUAAAAAAAAAAAAAAAAAAAGGAUCAAUUUCCAAGUCAAUUGUGUGCAACUCAAAAUUACAUACUUUUAAAUCUGCUGCAACUGAAUCAUUAAAUUGAUCAAUUUAAUGAUACAUCCACCUCAAUUGUUAAAAAAAACAUCAGCAUUAGUAUUAUGUGCGUGGUAUCGCGGACACCGCUACCGGUCUCGGGACCGUGUUCUUUGCAUGCUCGUUAAGAUCUUAAAGGACCGAAAAGCGUACUUGACUCAACAAAACACUUUACGCAAAGAAUCCACUUGAGGGAAACAAACAAGAUUGCAAGUCCAAAGUGUUCAGAAAGUUAACAACUCUCAUCAACCUUCAUAUUAAUUUACACUUUAUUUUCAUUUAUAUUUGCAUAUGCCCUUCUUUUCCUGACAUGUGAUUGAAAGAAACGUCAAACUUUUUCCAGACUUGUUCUUCCACGCACCCGUAACAAACGUGGAGAACAAAUGUCCCUUCACGCAUGUCUUGCCUUUGAAUACUGUAGAGAAUCCUUUGUGAUGUCUCACGAGGAACCAUUUUGCGAUGCAUGCGGGUCUUGAGUUUUUUUAAAGUAGGCCACCCUGACCUUUCGUUCUGUAUUUUGGUGGGUUGUCAGGCACCAUAAAGUGUCAAAAGAGCAACAUGUGUGAAAAGCAUUGCUUUCAAGGAAUGUGUUCAAAUGAAGGCUACUGUCAUCGGCUGCUAAAGCUGACGUCUGCUCGCUGACAACAUGUUUCCUACUUGCGGUCUCUGUUACAAAAACUUUCAACAACUGGAAAAAAGAUUACACUCAUGAGCCUCGUCAUUUAUUGGGAUUUGGCACGCACACAUUCAUGCACGAGUGCUUCUUGAGGACAUUGAUUCACUCGCAAGUGCAUCACGAGGACCUCAUUUCUCUCCCAUACAUUCAAUAAAAAGCUUUAAGGUGACUCACUGGCACCCCCUUGCGAAUUUAACUGUAAUUACAGGAUCCACUCAUCCGUUCCAUUGAUCCAUCAUAACAAUCCAUUUAUUUUAUUAAUUUGUUAAUCCAUCAUCUUUGUAUAAAUUAUUUACCCGAAAUCAGUACUGUACAUUCCUACUAUUUAUUUUUCUAAACAUCCAUCCAGCUAACAAAUUACCAGACUGACCUGU